UAAUUUUAGCAAGUUCUAAGGGAUCGCCGUCCAUGUUUCUCUUUCUUUUUGAAUAAUUUUGCGAUUGAUGGGGUCAAUUGAGUUUAUGUUAAGGGCCCAUAGCUCAGGCGGUUAGAGUGCGCCCCUGAUAAGGGUGAGGUCGGUAGUUCGAAUCUACCUGGGCCCACCAUUCAAUCAGGCAAGGGGCCGUAGCUCAGCUGGGAGAGCGCCUGCUUUGCAAGCAGGAUGUCAGCGGUUCGAUCCCGCUCGGCUCCACCAAUUGCGAAUUUAUAGUUUUUUUGUUCUAGGGAUUUUUUUUUAGAGCAAUAGUUUUUUGAAAAUUGAAUAGAAGGUAGAUUUUUUUGUAUUUUUUAUAUUGGCAUUGUAUGCGAUAUGGGAGGUACCA
rnacentral:tRNA from 1 species